rnacentral:rRNA from 1 species
UAGGGAAUCUUCCGCAAUGGACGCAAGUCUGACGGAGCAACGCCGCGUGAGUGAAGAAGGAUUUCGGUUCGUAAAACUCUGUUGUUAGAGAAGAACAGCGCAUAGAGUAACUGUUAUGCGUGUGACGGUAUCUAACCAGAAAGCCACGGCUAACUACGUGCCAGCAGCCGCGGUAAUACGUAGGUGGCAAGCGUUGUCCGGAUUUAUUGGGCGUAAAGCGAGCGCAGGCGGUUAGAAAAGUCUGAAGUGAAAGGCAGUGGCUCAACCAUUGUAGGCUUUGGAAACUGUUUAGCUUGAGUGCAGAAGGGGAGAGUGGAAUUCCAUGUGUAGCGGUGAAAUGCGUAGAUAUAUGGAGGAACACCGGUGGCGAAAGCGGCUCUCUGGUCUGUAACUGACGCUGAGGCUCGAAAGCGUGGGGAGCGAACAGG